GACAGAGGGUGCAAACGUUGUUCGGAAUUACUGGGCGUAAAGCGCGCGUAGGCGGGGAAGAAAGUCUACUGUGAAAGCCCGGAGCUCAACUCCGGAGGUCGGUAGAUACUUUUCUCUUGAAGCUGCUAGGGGAGAUGGAAUUACCGGUGUAGCGGUGAAAUGCGUAGAUAUCGGUAGGAACACCUGUGGCGAAAGCGAGGUCCUGGACGUUUACUGACGCUGAGACGCGAAAGCUAGGGGAGCGAACGGG
rnacentral:rRNA from 1 species